rnacentral:rRNA from 1 species
GUCUACAGCCAUGCCACCCUGAAUGUACCAGAUGGCGUCUGAUCUCGAAGCUAAGCAGGGUCGGGCCUGGUUAGUACUUGGAUGGGAGACAACCUAGGAAUACCAAGUGCUGUAGGCG